rnacentral:rRNA from 1 species
AUUGAACGCUGGCGGCAUGCUUUACACAUGCAAGUCGAACGGUAACAGGCCGCAAGGUGCUGACGAGUGGCGGACGGGGGAGUAAUGCAUCGGAACGUGCCCAGUCGUGGGGGAUAACUACUCGAAAGAGUAGCUAAUACCGCAUACGAUCUAUGGAUGAAAGCGGGGGACCGUAAGGCCUCGCGCGAUUGGAGCGGCCGAUGUCAGAUUAGGUAGUUGGUGGGGUAAAGGCUCACCAAGCCAACGAUCUGUAGCUGGUCUGAGAGGACGACCAGCCACACUGGGACUGAGACACGGCCCAGACUCCUACGGGAGGCAGCAGUGGGGAAUUUUGGACAAUGGGCGCAAGCCUGAUCCAGCAAUGCCGCGUGCAGGAAGGAGGCCUUCGGGUUGUAAACUGCUUUUGUACGGAACGAAACGGCUCUGGUUAAUACCCGGGGCUAAUGACGGUACCGUAAGAAUAAGCACCGGCUAACUACGUG